UACGUAGGGUGCAAGCGUUGUCCGGAAUUAUUGGGCGUAAAGGGCUCGUAGGCGGUUUGUCGCGUCGAAUGUGAAAUCCCUCGGCUCAACCAGGGAAGUGCAUCCGAAACUGCCGAGCUUGAGUACUUAAGAGGAUCGCGGAAUUCCCGGUGUAGAGGUGAAAUUCGUAGAUAUCGGGAGGAACACCAGUGGCGAAGGCGGCGAUCUGGGAAGAUACUGACGCUGAGGUGCGAAAGCGUGGGGAGCAAACAGG
rnacentral:rRNA from 1 species